UACAGAGGGUGCAAGCGUUGUUCGGAAUUAUUGGGCGUAAAGGGAGUGUAGGCGGUUGGGAAAGUCUUCUGUGAAAUCUACGGGCUCAGCCUGUAACGUGCAGAGGAAACUACUCGGCUUGAGUGUCGGAGAGGAUAGGGGAAUACCCGGUGUAGAGGUGAAAUUCGUAGAUAUCAGGAGGAACACCGGAGGCGAAGGCGGCCAUCUGGCGAGACACUGACGCUAAGGCGCGAAAGCGUGGGUAGCAAACAGG
rnacentral:rRNA from 1 species